rnacentral:misc_RNA from 1 species
AACACUGUUAACCUGCGGUACCUGCGGAGGGAUCAUUAUAGUAUAUGGAAUCUCCAUUCUAUAAACCCACUCUGCGUAUCUUGUAACUGUUGCUUCCAUGGGACUUGGUUCCGCCACACCGGCUUCACGGCUGGUGAGCGCCCACGGAAGGAGAAACAAAACUCUUCUUUGAAAUGUAGUCAGUCUGAACAAGUUUUUAUAAACGUUAAAACUUUCAACAACGGAUCUCAGAUCGGAAGA